rnacentral:rRNA from 1 species
UGAGGAAUCUUGCGCAAUGGGGGAAACCCUGACGCAGCAACGCCGCGUGAGUGAGGAAGGUCCUCGAGUCGUAAAGCUCUGUCAGGCGGGAAGAAAUGCAUGGAGGUGAACAGCCGCCAUGCUUGACGGUACCGCCAGAGGAAGCACCGGCUAACUCCGUGCCAGCAGCCGCGGUAAUACGGGGGGUGCAAGCGUUGUUCGGAAUCAUUGGGCGUAAAGAGCGUGUAGGCGGCUUGGUAAGUCGGAUGUGAAAGCCCUGGGCUCAACCCGGGAAGUGCAUUUGAAACUGCCAGGCUCGAGUAGGGGAGAGGGAAGUGGAAUUCCUGGUGUAGAGGUGAAAUUCGUAGAUAUCAGGAGGAACACCGGUGGCGAAGGCGACUUCCUGGCCCUAUACUGACGCUGAGACGCAAGAGCGUGGGUAGCAAACAG